GGAUUGUGACUCAAUGGUAGAGCACCUGCUUGGCAUGCAUGAGGCACUGGGUUGGAUCCCUGGCACCA
rnacentral:tRNA from 1 species